rnacentral:rRNA from 1 species
GACAGAGGUGCCAAGCGUUAGGCGGAAUCACUGGGCUUAAAGCGUGUGUAGGCGGAUGCCUAAGUACCUUGUGAAAUCCCACGGCUCAACCGUGGAACUGCUUGGUAUACUGGGGUGUCUUGAGCCAUCUAGGGGCUACCGGAACAAAUGGUGGAGCGGUGAAAUGCGUAGAUAUCAUUUGGAACGCCAAUGGUGAAAACAGGUAGCUGGGGAUGUGCUGACGCUGAGACACGGAAAGCCAGGGGAGCAAACGGG